CUCAAUCCUCACUUUCCUUCGGUUCUUCCACUCGUAUGAUUAUUUUCUUAUUAAUUUUUAUUUUCAAGUGCCAGUUCUUGAUUAUGUGGACGGUAAAGAUAAAAAGAGUUUGAACUCUCAACUGGUUUGUUUGAUUAUGGAAAAUUAAAAUCUUGAUUGAUGUUGUGCAGCUUAUGGAGGGCCACGUAGGACCGGCGGAGCAAGUUCUUUGGCCGCUCUCGGUGUUCUCCGGCGUCCUCAUGUGUAAAAUUGUAUAUGAAGUGACACAAAGUCAGCAUGCUAUACUCAAAGGGCUAUAACAACUUAACCAGAUUAGAAAAGAUCAAGUGGAACAAUCGAGGUGUCUCUACCUUCCAUGCUGUUGUAGCCGUGGUAACUUCACUUUGUCUAUUGGCAGUUUCAGACCUUUUCGAAAAUGGUUCAAAGUCAGAGCUUGUAGUAAACAGAAAAUCACUUCUAUCAGAUGCCACCUUAGGGGUAGCAUGCUGAUUUUAUGUGUCACUUCAUAUACCUACAUUAUUGAGAGAACUAUCCAGAUCCAUUUUAUGGAUUUUCAGUUACCAAAAACAAGGAAAAAA